CUCGGCUCCUCAAUGUCUUGCAAGCUAGUCCCUUUGAUUUGUAAUUAUCGGAGGCUUCUUAAGUAAUUGGCUAGAACUUGCCCGUACUGUGCCCGCGGAAGAUCAAUAGGCGUGCAACUUUUCAUCAUCGCGGUCGGCUCUGUGAGAAUGGGAAUAGGAGCUUUUCCCCUUCCUUUUUGCCGUUCCCAGGGCAGCUGGGUACAAUUCUGAACCAGAAAUAUGAUGAGUGCGUUUAGCAAUCCCGGGCCCUUGCUCUGCAUUUCAGUCAAUAUUUCCUUCUCGGUGCCGCCUCAGCCAUCCAGUGUAAAACCUUCUAGCAGAUGCAAAAUAGACAUCGCUUAGGAGCAAGAUGGAGAAACCGGGAAUUUGAGAUUAUGAUUUCGCUUUUCUUCACAUGUUUACAUGUGUAUGUGUGUGUGUGCUUAAAUAAGGUGGGCAUUGCGGUUUUUUCUACAUUGUUAUGCAAUCUAUAGGGCGACUGCCAUGGAUGUCCCUGGAGAUUAUCUUUUAUUUAAACGUCUAAGGCUAUUUUCAAAGGGCGCUCGCCCUUUUGUCGCCGGGUAUUAAACAGAGUCGGGACAGUAGGUGAAAAAAAUUCUGUCCUGCGCUUAAUUCUUUCCACAUUGACUCGCAGCCGGCGCAGGGGUCCGGGUGGUGCAUGGCAAAGCCUUCCCUCGGAAGGGCUGCCCGGAGCAGCUCCUGAGCGCCGGCUGUACCCAGGGGGGCUGCAGCGCUCGGCGGGUGGAGGCGGCACAACGGCGGUGCCGGGGGGAGCGACAUAACCCCCACGGGCGAGGCGAGGAGUCCCACAGGGCACCCGGGAGCCAUCGCCCAACAGCAACAAUCUGCUCUCUGGAAAUUGCUGCUAUGCGUGUCAAAAGUCACUGUUUUAUCCCAUAAUUUUCUGCAAGGAGGUAAGCACAGAGCUCCUCAGUAUCGGUACAAAGAAAAGAAACAAGGAAUGAGUGUCGAGCUCUAUCAAGAGAUACCAGCCUUUUGCUACAAAAUGUGGAUACGGACAUUCCUGAUUUUCCAGUUGUCCAUAUGGGAUUGAUACUACUCAUUUAUUUAGUUAUCAGCUGCUUUCUUUCUAGCUAGCAAGGGAUUACUAAAACACAAUGCCCACUAUGUAAAACUAAAUGAGAGUUUCAAUAGGAAUGAGGGCAGUCCUCCCCCUUCCCCAAAGGAGAUCCCACAUUGAGAAGAGCGUUUAUGUUGUGAGAAGAGCAUUUCUGGUGAGUCUGUCAUACACUAAACCCACUUGUUCCAUUUCUUGUAGACACUACGCUAUCAAGAGCUUUACCCAUAGAAUCAGCAGUGUGUCCUGCUUACCUUAAACUUUCUCUUUAUCAUGGAGGAGACAUCAAAGAAGAAUAAAAGAUCUGGAGGCCUCCUUCAAAGAUUUUGUAGAGGUUGUCCAUUUAGUCACAUUGUGCUUUAAUGUCUUUUUCCUUUUCCAAAGCUUUGUAUUUGUCACUUUGCCCAGGAGAGUUGCUGGGCCAAUCUCCUCAGGACAUGUUCUGGCCUUCCUCUACUUUAAGUAUUGCUACAAAAGCAGUCUACUUGAAGGGAUUUCUGCAGUACUUAACUACACAUAUACAAAAGCAGCCUAUGCUUCCUAAUAUGCUGUUUCAGGCCCUUACAUUCCAAUCUGGCUUGCAUUGCCCUUUAAUUAUCUGUCUUCUUAUUGUGAUCAAAUGAAUUUUUACUAAUCUCCACAUUUAUUGUUAAGGUAAAUAGAUGCUGCUUUUAAUCAGUAUGGAGGGCCAGACCAAUGCAGUUUGAAGUAACUUAAGUCAACUAUAAAGGGUUCAAUGUGUGUAUAAUUACAGAGGACGUCAGCUAUUCACUCCAGUCUAAUUCAGUGUCUGUUUAGAGACAGAGCUCUUCCUUUCCUCUUUCCUCUGCUCCCUCUCUCACCUGAUUUGCUCCCCACUGUUCCACAAAGCCAGCAGGAAGAGCACAGUGGAGGCCAAGCCAGCAGCAGCCCUCCUGAACCUCAGGCUGGAUUAAUUUAGUGGAUUUGAACUCCUAGGUGAGUAUAAGCAUACGGGUACAAUAUAACACCUUCUUCCAACAAAAAAGAUUGAUUGCAUCUUAGCCUCAGUAUUAAAUGUGCUAUUAUCAGAAGAAGCUGGAAUAAUGCAUGCAGUCAUUUUAAAAGAAAGCAGGUUUCCUUUGCGAGCAUACUUAUUAUUUCAAUAGUAUUUGAGAACUAUUUUAAUAGUGGCCACGUUGUUGCUUACUAAAAUAUAUUUGAAUUGAACAUGUAUAUAUCAAGGUAUUUUUUCUUAAUUUUAGUUUGAAUUAUUCCUGAAGUUCUCAUUAAAUUUACCAUUUGUAAAGGACAGAUUAAAUGAAAAUGGCUUUUAGAAAAUAGAGAUGGAAAUUAUUUUGACCUUUGUGACCUGGUAGAGGUGAUAAUUUGCUGCAGCACUGUAUGUUGGAUGUAUCUGACAUUUUAGGUAUUCCCUCAUAGUUUCAGACCUUUGUACAGAUGAACACCACCUGGGACAACUCAGCAGUCAACUUUUUGUUACCUUCAUGUAAAUGAGAAGACUACAGCUGUCUUAAGCAAUCUAGGUGGACACGACCAAUGGAAAAUUAAACUUGGGCGAGGGCAAUGCUAAGAAAAGAAUGUCUAUUAUCCACAAUAAUGCUCCUAACAUUUUCUAAACAGCUAUUACCUGUGUCUGUCCAUAAUUGUCCUUCUUACAUUAACGUUGCAAUCUUUCUUUCUGAACAGUUACAGAAAUCUCUCCCCACUGACUUUUCCAUAUGUAAACAACCUAUACAGCAUUUUGUAAUGUAAAACAAAUGUGAAUUGAGAAGAGAAGCUUUAAACAGGAAGAGCUUUCAUAUCCUGCUCCAGGAGUGUGACCAGCCAUGGUAGGUUGCUCUUGGCCUCAUAACUACUGAAAGGACUUUUGAAAUGGGCAUUGUUUGAACUUCUGAGCAUGGUCUAUAAUCUUGUUUAAUAAUUACAUCAACUGUGACAGUUUAAUUCAGCGUAGGUACCUAAAACUAUUCCUGAAAUUAAUAAUAGGCAUGCUUUAUAGCUUAUGCAUGUCAAAAGUUGUAAGACAAGUCUCAUCAUGGAAUGUAACUGUUUUAACAUGACUUUUUAAAUAGUCCAACCAUUUAAAACAAUUGCAUAACAUUUUUUCUCCAAUCUUUAAAACAAAAAAUCUUUCUUUGUAUUUAUAGGGUUGAAUAUAGUUAAGUGACCUCUACAAAAACUUCCUCUUUGAAGUGUUCUCUGAAGAGAUCUUCAAGGCAACUGAGUGCCUCAGAUUGUGAUUUUGUAAGGUUUUGAUGCUAGAAAAUUGUUUAACAAACAGCUCCAAAAUAUUGAGAUUUUGAUUAGUAACAUACAGUGUCAUGGCAUUUAAAAAAUAUAAAGUUUGAAAUCUAACAUGUGGCAGAAGAGUAUGUGUUCCACAUGGUUAGGAGAAUGGGAAUGGGGGCAUACCAAUAUCUGAGCAGGAGAAAAUAGUUGUAUAAAGCCAAUUAAAUUAUUGUUUAGGAAUAUAUUAUACUGCUGUCUCUACUUGUGCCAGAACUAUUCCUCUAAAUUCAUGGUUGAAGAGUAUGAUCCUUCAGCAGAAUAGGGAGUUUGGGUUACUGUUGCUUUGUUUUUUAAAUGUACGUACUGUAUGACUCUGCAGAGUCCUGGAUUUGGUUAACAUUGACUUCUCAGCAGAGAACAGUUUGGGAAUAUUAGCCUAAUUUCUAAAAAUAGUAAUAUGUGAAUAAUAUAAGUCAGGAAAUCUAGUUGAGUAUAACAGUCCUGAGGAGCAAUGCUCACACUGAAAUCAGUCCUAGGCCUCAGAACCUUUCACUGUAGUUAAUUUCCUGUAGAGUUUCAUAUUCUUCACAAUGUUGAAACUUUUCUCAUAAAAGAGUAUUCUGCCAAAAGAAGUUUUGCUCUGUCUAAGGAAGCAAAAUGCUGCUGUACUUGGAGUCUUUCCAAUGACAGAAUUUGAACUAAUGUUAAGAGAUGCUGUACUGGCCUACACUGAGGGGUUAAUUUAAAAAUCCCACCUCAUUUAUACCCUCAUUACCACUAGAUUAGGAUUGCAUCUAAUCCCAAGUAAUUACAUAUUAGUUAUAUAUAUUAGCUCUAGGGUGGGAUCUGAUGUUUGCAUACAAGUAUUUAUUUUACUAAGUGAAAAGGAGUAAAGACCUACCCAACUCAGGCAUCAUACAUCUAUACCCCAUUUGCAUGUAUACCUUUUAAAUUCUAAACCAGAAAAAAUUUGUAACUUUAAUUUCUGUUUUGGGGUAAGCCAAAAGGGAUUUAAAGAAAGUCAACAGCGUUGAUCAAAAAAAAAAUUAGAGGAGCAAAAUGCAAAGUAGUUAACUAUUCAGUGUGAAUACAUUAACAUUAGAAUAUGCCAGCUGCCGUUUACCAUGCCAUUGCAAUGCUGCAACUGUCCAGACAUAACACUCUUGGAAGAGGAAGUGUACCUGUAAUUCUUACCAAUGCAAACAUUUCUUUGUUUUUUUUAAUGGUUGGAAGUAAUGGGUAGCCAUAGAGAUGUACAGUGGAAAAGAUUCAUAACCUGUAUUUCUGAGCAGUUUUGCAUCUGAUCCAUCAGUUUGAGGAAAAUACUUCCAAAUGCAGUUCUCUAUUAGUGAUGGAAAGUCAUUGCAAUAUGAAUAUACUUUCAGCAGUGCACUAUGGAAAAUGGACAAUAAAACUGAAGUUCUUCUGUCUUCAGAUCAAUGUAAGCAUGAAUCUUAAAAAUGUGAAUAAAAGAGCUCAUUCAGCAAGCCCUACUAAUUAUGUCUAGCCCUCAUUUGCAAAUUGUUUAAUUGUGGAUUGGUAUUACUAAAUCUCAAGGAUUAUUUUGCAGUUUUUGGAAUCAACAUUAAAAAUAGUCUUCAUUUAAUCUCUUUCAGAAGAGUUGAAGCUAAAUUUUACAAAACGAAAAUGUAAAUAAUGAAUAAGAGUCUCAUAGCCAAAUUAUUAUCUAAUGACUGGAAUCCAACUUCAGAAUGAUCACAGAACUUCUUUUUUAGUGUUCAUUCACCCCACCAUAGAUAUAAUUUCAUAAUAUUUUUAAAGAACAUUUUAAUAAGCAGGAAUAUGACAAAUCUUUGUGAGUUAGGAUUUUGAGACUGUAGAUUACCAUCUUUAAUCUCAGCUAAACAGAAGAUACUCUUUCAAAAUUCUUAAGCACAAAUAAAUUUUAGUUAGGGCUUUUUUUCCUAAACAGUUUCUGUGGGUGACUUUCCAACCUGUUGAUGCAAAUACCUACCCAGCUCACAGUCUAUUGCAAUUUCAAAUUUCAAAACUAAGUAGGCUGGUAUUUCUUCAGUCAAUAAUGCUGAAAGGUUCAUACUGAAAAAGGAGGAAAACCCUAAAAACAUUAAAAUAUCAAGUAUUUUCCAAGUGCUUAACUCAUGCAGUCUUUGGGAAUUACGGAAAUUUAGAACUGCACUACUGAAGUUGCUGGCAGCAUGCUUUUCAGUAGUGAGCUCUUUGUCAUGGAUGGGAAGGCUAAUCAAAGUGUGAGGCAGCCUUGCUGUUCCAAUUUCAUCUUUCCAGAAAGACUGGUCUCUGAGAUACUGAGGCAUCAGUUUUUCACCUGAUGGACUGUUGAUGAGGCUUCACAACCAAAUCCUCAGGGUGUAUGAGUUACAGAGCUGGCUCUAGGCAAGUUCAAGUUAAGCCAUUUGUAUCCAUGUCACUUUGGAUGUGUCUUGUUUGGUGAGCAAUUAAAAAAAAUAGGUCAUGUGUUGUACUCUGGAGAUAGUGCUGUUUGUGAUUCUCUCAAAAUUUAAACAUUUUGCAUGCCUCAGACCACUUGCAGGGUAAAUGGAGUCCCCUGCUGAGUAGCUAAUAGGGGAACUCACACUUUCAAGAAAAGUGUGUCUAAUAGCAGGGGAUUACUAUAAAUCUCCUGGUUUGAUGUACACCCUCGCUUAAAUGUUAUGGGAGUGGCUUUAGUAGCCUGCAGCUUCUGUAUCCCACUUGUAGCUGCAGCCAGGCAUAUUUAGAAAUUCAUUGAAGGCAGAAAUUUUAAAAAUGGAGUUAUCAGCUCUCCUUAGAGAUAUCAAAAAUCUAAAAAUCUAAAAUUAAGUAGUUGGUUUACCUUUUUUCCCUUCUUCAAAAUGGUACAUGUGCUUAUUAUUUUUAAGUUGAAGUCACAACUCUGGGGGAUUUUUGCGUUCUGUGAUAGUUGAACAUGGACUGCAUAUAUAUUUAUUCAAUUUUAAACAGAGAAAGUAAAAGAAGUAAAACUACUUUUGAAAUUAAUUUGUAAACUGAGUGCAUUGCAUAUAAUAGCAUGUUGUGUACUAGAUAGUAUUGAUAUGAAACUGACCUAUGAAGCAGAAAAAAGUCCAACCAGAAAAUAUUUAUUUGGUAAAUAUAAUGAUUACAUUUGUUCAUGUUAUACUCUUGGACACAGCAUCUCCCAGGCACUGUUUGUGGUUCUCAGACUGCUGAUUAUUUCCAAAAGAAUCUCUGGAAAUUUUCUGAAAAACUAGGUUCAUCCACAGAACAUCACUUGAGCAAUUAAUGGUUUUCAGUAAUUUUGUAGUUCCCUGAAACACUAGAGAAGCUUCCUAUAUUUUCUUUUCUAGGCCAAAGAUCUCUUGAGCUUUGUCUGUUUCCUGAAAGCCCUUGCUUGGGUGUUUCUAAGGCAGCUUGAUGUUCCUCAGCUGGGCAGAAGGCAUUCAAGCAGGUGCUGAGUGUAAUAAGGCUAGAUAAGAGACCAAUCAUGUUUUUAAUCACCUACUUCUCCCUGGCUUUGGGAAGUGGAUAGUGCACCAUGAUUACUCUGCUGGUCAUACUUUCAGGUACACACUGGCGAGGUUGGCUGGGAUUUGUGUAUGUUACGAAGAGUAUGUUCUUUUUAAUAAAUCUGGCUAUUAAAGGUAGUUUUGUGGCUACUACAGCUGUUAAUCUGAUAGCAGACAUAGCUUCAGUUCUGUGGAGGUCAUUUACCCCCUGUGUAAUCACAGCAGUGAGGUGAAUACUCACACUGGUGGCUGACAUCUCUUUCUAGACUGAUGCUGUUCUUAGGCAUUUUGUGUUUCACAGUACGCCUCUCCAGAGAAGUGGGAAUCUUAAGCUUGAAAGACUCCUGAGGCAAAUGCUAUUUUAGUCUCAUUGAAAUCCAGCAAGGCACCAAGUACUGAACAAAAACCCCACAGAAAUUACAGAAGAAAUAACAGGAGAGACUUGAAAUCACCUGAAUCAAUAGGAGUUCUUACCCUGCCCUGCACAUAGUGCUUCCUGCUCUGCUGGAGAUGGGUUGGCAAACAGAGGACCAGGAUCUUGGCCUGGAGAGGAGGAGGCUCGGGUGCCCUCAUCACUCUGUACCUCUCCCUGGAAGGAGGCUGUAGCCAGGUAGGGGUCAGCCUUUUCUCCCAGGCACCCAGUGACAGGAUUAGAGGACUUGGUCUUCUUCAGCUGUUCCUGGGAAGGUUUAGGCUGGACAUGAGAAGAAAUUUCUUCACAAAAAGGCCGAUUUAACAUUGGAAUGGGCUGCCCAGGGAGGUGGUGGAGUCUG